GAUGAACGCUGGCGGCGCGCCUAAUACAUGCAAGUCGAACGCAUAGCGAAAGGUGCUUGCACCUUUCAAGUGAGUGGCGAACGGGUGAGUAACACGUGGACAACCUGCCUCAAGGCUGGGGAUAACAUUUGGAAACAGAUGCUAAUACCGAAUAAAACUUAGUGUCGCAUGACACAAAGUUAAAAGGCGCUUCGGCGUCACCUAGAGAUGGAUCCGCGGUGCAUUAGUUAGUUGGUGGGGUAAAGGCCUACCAAGACAAUGAUGCAUAGCCGAGUUGAGAGACUGAUCGGCCACAUUGGGACUGAGACACGGCCCAAACUCCUACGGGAGGCUGCAGUAGGGAAUCUUCCGCAAUGGGCGAAAGCCUGAUGGAGCAACGCCGCGUGUGUGAUGAAGGCUUUCGGGUCGUAAAGCACUGUUGUAUGGGAAGAACAGCUAGAAUAGGAAAUGAUUUUAGUUUGACGGUACCAUACCAGAAAGGGACGGCUAAAUACGUG
rnacentral:rRNA from 1 species